rnacentral:rRNA from 1 species
CCUACGGGAGGCAGCAGUGGGGAAUAUUGCACAAUGGGGGAAACCCUGAUGCAGCGACGCCGCGUGAGUGAAGAAGUAAUUCGUUACGUAAAGCUCUAUCAGCAGGGAAGAAAUACUGACCUUACGGUCAGCAGACGGUACCUGAGUAAGAAGCCCCGGCUAACUACGUGCCAGCAGCCGCGGGAAUACGUAGGGGGCAAGCGUUAUCCGGAUUUACUGGGUGUAAAGGGAGCGUAGACGGUGCGCCAAGUCUGGAGUGAAAUGCGGGGGCUCAACCCCCGGACUGCUCUGGAAACUGUACGGCUGGAGUGCAGGAGAGGUAAGUGGAAUUCCUAGUGUAGCGGUGAAAUGCGUAGAUAUUAGGAGGAACACCAGUGGCGAAGGCGGCUUACUGGACUGUAACUGACGUUGAGGCUCGAAAGCGUGGGGAGCAAACAGGAUUAGAUACCCUUGUAGUC